rnacentral:misc_RNA from 1 species
GAUAAUCUCAAACGGAGUUGGCUGGAACUUUGAGAAUAAAGGGAAAAUUGAUGAAAAAAUCUAAAACACGAGGGAUGAACUUUUUGAUCGAAUAAUCGAAACGAGGUCAUACGUCCCCCAGGUGGAAUAGGAGGUGACGGGAAGAAGGUGAAAAGUUCCCGAACGAAAUAAUCGGUUCCAACAUUUGGUGGAACUCCGGUAGAACGUUAUCUUGAUCAAACAGCAAUAAAAAAUGAUGAUGACGAGGAUAAUAAGUGCAGCCAGCGGGAGCGGGAGCACAGUCAGCGUCAAGAGACGUAAAAUACCCCGUAGGUGCACCGAGAGCCGCGAAGGACCAGAGCGAGGAACGGAGACGGGUGUAUCGAAAAAGGUACAGAGGGAGAAACCGAGCCGAGGCUGGCGCGUGGGAGAGCAAACAGCUAAACCGUUCGAAAUACUAUUUCCCAACCGAAAAAAUGAAGUGAAAAAACUGCGCGAUUAUACGUCAGAUGAUACUCCGGAGAGAGAGAA